CGAAAAGAGGGAGGUGCGGCGAGCGGAGCUCCGGGAGCCGCCCAAAUAGCGCGUGCCAAGAACGUCCUUUGAGCCGCUUGAGGCACCUCGUUGCUCCGGUCAGUGUCUCCCCGUGUCGUGUGAGUCAUCCUCGCCGCAGGAGCCAGAAUCAAGACGAUGAUAAACGAAGCCAUGUUCUGCAUGAAUAAAGAAUCAGACGGAUCUGAACCCCGAGAUAUGGCCAAUAGAAUAUGUAUAGUUGAGCUGCUCAGAUCUCAGAUUGCGAGGCUUUUAAAAAGCAUAUCCGGUCUGCAUCCUAAACCUGUGGAAACUGGAGAGUGCUCGAGGAAAGAAGAAAAUUACAGUCCAGUGCAGGCAGUUCAAACCGGCUUAAGGAAAUGAGUAAUGACAAGGUUAAUGAUUACUGCAAGAUGUUCAAGAAUGAGAACCAUCUUGGGAAUGCUACAGUAAUUACCUUAUCACAGUAUGCAAGAUACUUGUGGAAGACCUCAAGGGGGACAGUGAUCCGCAUAGAAGUACUUGUAUUGCUGGCUAGCGUUGCCUUCUUGUUCCUCGCUACCUUUGGUUCAUACCGUCGCCGGCGCAGAAACUGGUUCAUCCAGAAAGGUGUCUUCGCCAUAUAUACAUUAUCAUCCUCAUUGAUAACAUACAUAUUAGGUUCAAUGCAAUCUUCUGCGGUGAAGAGCAGCAUGUAUCCCAUUUGGGCCAUAUCUCUCGGUAUUCUUUAUGGUUCUGCUGACUCUGUGACAGCUUAUACUCUCAGUGACAACAGGCUAGACACAAGACAUAUAUGCCAGGCUGCGCCCUUAUAUGGGUAUGCUGGGUUACUUUUGAUCAAGGUAUCCUCAAGUGAUGGUAACUUUGAUGUUAACUACUCGAUUGAGAAUAGACAGCUGAAAUACAACACGAUUAACAGCGGAGGAUGACGAUGUCAUUGACAGAGAAGAUAUGGCAGUGCAAUGAUCGUUCUAUAGGCCUAGAGCUAAAAUACACUUGCCUUUCCUUCUCACUCUUUCAUCUGUUGAAUAGGCGCUGCUUUGGGUUUGCUUGUGGCGAAUCCAGAAAAAAGGCGCAUGAUUUUGUCUUCAAGGGUCUGCUAUUGGAGAAUGCCACAGACUACAAUAGGGUUUUCAAGGUGAUUGAGGUAGAGCUAGCCUUUAUCUAUGAUUUCCACUUCACCAAGUACGCUGUCAUUUAUUAUGGAUCAAGAGCUGCAACAUUCUGGUCCUUAGCUUCACUCACCUGCAUAUCUCUUACAGCAUAUGGCGUUGCCAGUCGUGUAUUGAUCAACUGUUGCGAUGAAGAUGAGUCUCUUGUUGUGAACAACACAACUGAGGUUGUGAUCACCUUAUUGAUACUUGCAUGUGCUGCUUUGCUUGAAUUGCUACAGCUGCUACUUUACUGGACGGCCAUUUGGGCCAGAGUAUCCUUUGUUUGUCAGUUUCUCAAACAACAACCAAUAUCAAACACAAGAGGGAGCUGCAUGAUGAGAUUAAAAGUGCUACUUACAAAGAUUGGUGUUCACUGUGCGUCAGACAAACACUACUGGCGACACAAGCUUGGGCAGUACUCUUUACUUGAAUCAGUCAGCUGAUCGCUCCAAGAAAGAGCAUAAAGUACUCAAAAAGUUUGGGAAGUUUAUCAUAUCAGCGACAAAUUCUAUUAAUCUUACAGACGCAAAUCUCAUACACCAAAGUUAUGGUGCAUCAACGGGCUGCAUGGCUGCUGGUGAACCUAUCGAGUUGCCGGCAGAAAUAAAAGAGGCAAUUGUCCGCUCCCUUAUACGUACUCGUGGCAAGCUAACAAAUGGGAAAUCAUCAUUGGUGUCUACUGGAGCACAAGACCUCUUAUGGGCUUGUGGACAUGAUAUAUACUCAGAUAAAAUCUGCUCUGGGAAGGAGAAUCAGGCACACCUUAUAUGACUUGGCACAUAGCAACUUGUUACUGUGAGAUGGCAACAGUGAAAAACAAUGCUUGCCAAAAUGAGUGAGCGGAACUCAAGUUCCAUCAUGACAUUGCCACAAAAGUGUCAAAAUAUUGUGCAUAUCUGGUGGUCUCUGCACCGCAGCUUCUUCCUGGGCACACAGAUUAUACAUGGUGUCUGAGCCAUGCAGUUGCCCGAGAAGCAACCGAAUUCCUGAAAGAUUUUAGGGACAAGUACGAAGAGAUCAGGAAUUUAGCAGAAUCAGAGGAGACACUCUUUCAGAAGGGUGCCAAGCUGGGGAAGCAACUCGAGGAGAUUUUUUUCGAAAAGGAGGUACAAGAUGUUACACAGUGUUGGAAGGUGCUUGCGAUUUUUGGGCCAAGAUGCUGCUCUACCUUGCGCCGUCAGAUGACACUGAUGCACACGUCGCACAGCUAGCGGAAGGCGGCGAGUUCAUCACCCACCUGUGGGCUUUGCUCUCUCAUGCAGGCAUCCUUGAGAGGGAAGAGUAUGAAGUUGGAGGCGUGUAACACCACAUCUCCCGUCUCAAACCUGCCUUUUUUUUGACAGGAAACCUGCCUUUGUUUUUGAACGGUAAAAAGCCACAAAGGACUUGGAAUCUUCAUUAUGUAGGCGGAGGGUACAAUUUUACUGUGGUUGGUCUACCUGGUCUAAUAAGUGGCAUAUGAUAGUCAAUGACAUGUUGUCAGUGUUCAGGUUCUGUGUAUGAUCUUUGUGAUUCGCCAAUCUGUGACAUGUUAUCUUUGUAAGUUUGAACUUGGUUCUCUGUA